rnacentral:rRNA from 1 species
ACCAGGUUGAUUCUGCCUGACGUAGACGCUAUACUCUAAGAUUAACCCAUGCAUGUUUAUUGAAUAUAAAGAAAAGACGAACAGCUCAGUAACUCUUAUUUGAUUUGAUGUAUUAGGACUCUAACUAUGUUAAAUUAUAGGUAACAAUAAUACAAUAAGAAUAAGAUCUAUCAGUUAGUUGUUAAGGUAAUGGCUUAACAAGACUAUGACGGAUAACGGUAUUACUUUGUAAUAUUCCGGAGAAGGAGCCUGAGAGAUUGCUACUAAGUCUAAGGAUUGCAGCAGGGGCGAAACUUGACCUAUGAUAUUAUAUUGAGGCAGUUAUGAGUAGUAUUUUAUAAUUAUUGUAGUAUUGUAAGUACAUAUUACAAGAUAAAUCGGAGGGCAAAUCGAGUGCCAGCAGCCGCGG